rnacentral:rRNA from 1 species
CCUACGGUGGGCUGCAGUGGGGAAUAUUGGACAAUGGGCGAAAGCCUGAUCCAGCCAUGCCGCGUGUGUGAAGAAGGCCUUCGGGUUGUAAAGCACUUUCAGUGGGGAAGAAAGCCUUGGGGCUAAUACCCUCGAGGAAGGACAUCACCCACAGAAGAAGCACCGGCUAACUCCGUGCCAGCAGCCGCGGUAAUACGGAGGGUGCGAGCGUUAAUCGGAAUUACUGGGCGUAAAGCGCGCGUAGGCGGUCUGAUAAGCCGGUUGUGAAAGCCCCGGGCUCAACCUGGGAACGGCAUCCGGAACUGUCAGGCUAGAGUGCAGGAGAGGAAGGUAGAAUUCCCGGGGUAGCGGUGAAAUGCGUAGAGAUCGGGAGGAAUACCAGUGGCGAAGGCGGCUUUCUGGACUGACACUGACGCUGAGGUGCGAAAGCGUGGGUAGCAAACAGGAUUAGAUACCCUCAGUAGUC